AUUCUUCAGUAUUUGCAAAGCACUGAUAAAAACAUCUCUCUUCUCUCAAUCUUGCUUCCUUCUUUUCAUUUACUAAAUAGGCUUUUGAGCCUCACAAGACUUUGAGAUUUUAUGGAUAUGAAACCUGCUAUCAUUUAGCAUCCUGCCUCUGGGAAUAGACAUGGAUUCUCACUAUGACACCCAGGCUGGAGUGCAGUGGCACAAUCAUAGCUGACUACAGCCUCGAAUUUCUGGGCUCAAGCAAGGCUUUCAUCUCAACCUCCCCAGGAGCUGGGAUUACAGGUAUGAGCCACUGUGUCUGGCUUGAUUUUUUAUUUAAAAAAUUAUUUGUUAAUAGAAAUAUGUCCUAAGAAGGGUAGAUCGUGGCUGUUUAUUUUCCAGUGAAGAGCUUCAGUUAAGAACAUGCAAAUAUGUGAGUGUUCAUUAAUGCUUUUAUUCAUUCAUACAUCUAUUUAUAAAUAUUAUCUAAAUCUGCUAUGUGCCAGGCAUUAUGCUACCUGCCAAGGAUUCCACAAGGAAUGCUUCAACUGGAAGGCAGGAGUCAGAGAUGACAUUGAUGUGUUUGGAAUGAAGGCUUUUCCUUUUGUUUUGCUCUUUUUUUUCCCAAUAGGCACAAAUCAGGGCCAAGGCAUGAGGGGCAAAUAAAGUUCAAAUAUUUUCUUUGGAAUUUAUUAUUUGCAAAGGAAACCAUUUGUACUCACCGAGGGACUUGAUGUGGAAUACUUUAUUUUUCACCUCCUAGUGUGACAGCAAAACUAAUAACAGACCCAUAAAAUACUUCCAAAAGAGAAGUAUUUUUGUUCUGGCUUCAUGAUGGUCUUAUUGCCUCCACAGUAUAAAAAGAAAAGUGGGAAACUUUUAUAAGAUACUCAUUAAAUUACCUUAGUAACAAAACAGAGUUCUCAAAGUGGACCAUCCAUAAAAUGUUUAUUUAAAAAAAAAAAACAGGGUUGCUUCAGUUAGGAUAGAAAAAAUAUAAUUAAUCUAGAACACAUUGUGUUCUCAAUGAUUUGGGUAGUUUAAAACUAUAAUUUGAAAGGCUGUAAAGGGUAGCUGUACCAUUUAGAAGUUAAGAAACAAAAUAGAAUCAAAACAGAAUCAAAUUUAACCAUUGGACUCUAUUUAGAGUCCAAGAUUUCUAAUAAACAGUGAUUUAAUCUGAAAACAUAUUUUUUUACUCCUUCAGUUAAAACAGAAACUAAAAGUACCACUUUUGCAUCUGAAGCCAGCCUUCAUGUAUUAGCUUUGUUCUGCUGCAUUUCAUAGGAGGCCUUGUGAGUUAAUAACUAUAAAGUUCUUAGAACUUUGUCUUCAGAAAUUGCUCUUUGUCUUAUGAAAAGGUAGAUGAGUCUGUAAUGCAAUGGUAAGUCAGUCACAUGCAUUACCUAACUUAUUCCUCACACAUUUCCUAUGAAGUAUGUGCAGGAGGAACAGUGGAAACAGAGAGGUGACUUACUCAAGGUUACAAGGCUGGUAAGUAGCAGGAGCUGGGAUGAGAUCCCAGGCUUGUCUGAUUUUAAAGCCUGGAAUUAUUCCUCCAUCCACAGCAGUUGUCUCUCAGUAAACCACGAUUGUCAUCCUAAGUAGUAACAUUGAAGCUAGACUUUGACUGCUAGGUAAUUUUAGCUGUGAAGAGGGGUCGGCCUUAUAGACAGAAAUAACACAGUAAAGAGUCACAGAGGUGUGGUGUCCAUGAUGGCUUGGGAGGUAAUUUGUACCUUUUAACAAAGCAGCUGUCUCAGAUUACCAGUAGCCUGAAAAUUUCCAAAUUCCUCCCAGUUUUACAUGGCUAGUGCCUUCUAGUUCUCUCAACUUUUUGACAUUUUUGUCUUUUCCUGAUAGAAACUGUAGAGUUAUCCUUGAUUUGUUCCCCUUACUACCUCUUACCUAGUCAGUUAUAAAGCCUUAUUUAAUAGUAUUUCAAAAAAUCUUUCCAUUCUCUACACUCUUCAUCAUUACUGUUGUCACUUAGAGCCUGAACCAUCAUCAAGUCUCAUACUGACUGUAUUAAGUCUCCAAACUUCUCUGAACUUACCUUGCUGUCCGUUAUCUUUCUAAAUCACAGCUCUGGUUACACCAGUCACUUUAAAAGCCACUAUCUGAAAAUAAAGACCAAGUGUAAAGUGGCAGAUGACACCCUUCGGGUAUAGACAAUGCAUAAUUCUUGCUUCUUAUGUAGUGACUCAUGAUAAUUCUCACAGCUAUUUAAUUCAUGUUUUUGUUAUUCUUUAAUUUUUCUGGACUCUUUUUUUCUUUGAGUUGAUUGAACUUGACUGAUGUGUAAAUGUUUUCCAGGGGCACAAAACUGGGAGGAGACAAAGUUGGGGAGAGCGAUGUUUAUACAUUGCUCAAGUUCAAGCACAAAUACCUGUGUAUCUUAACCUGGCCCUCUCAGCUGCCAAUAGCCAAUUAAGAUAAUAGCUUUCAAAUUUGUUUUUAAAUUAUUCCUUUAUUUUUAAAACUGACAUAUACAAUUGUAUGUAUUUAUCAUAUGCACCAUAUAUAGCAAGAGGUUUUGAACUACAUAGACUUUGUGGAAUGAUUACAUCUAUAUAAUUUGCGCUAACAUAUUGUUGAAUGGCCAUCACUCUUACAGCAUCUUCCACAGGUCACAUCAUUUUGUUCUUACUUGACUAAGACUUUCUUAUAAGCAGUGACUAAAUCUAAAUAAUUUUAUUAGCUUAUCAUUUCAGUUCAUAAUAUAAUGCCUUACACAUCAUAGACAAUAAAUAGUUAUUCUUCAAAUGAACAACAAGAGGUAAAUUAUUUUUAUUUUCUUUAAGGCAAAACAUAAACUUAUCCCAGGAAAAUUAGCAGUAAUUAUUCCAAUGCUUGGCCUUUACUGUUAUAAAAUAAAUCAAGCUAGACUUAUUUUGUAUUACUCUCAGUGUGCUGUAUUUUGCUUUUCAAAAAUAACUUCCUUUAAAGAAAUCUGAAUGAAAGGUUCUAAGUUGGCUGGGUGCGGUGGCUCACGCCUGUAAUCCCAGCACUUUGGGAGGCCGAGGCAGGCGGAUCACGAGGUCAGGAGAUUGAGACCAUCCUGGCUAACACGAUGAAACCCCGUCUCUACUAAAAAUAGAAAAAAUUAGCCGGGCGUGGUGGCGGGCGCCUGUAGUCCCAGCUACUCGGGAGGCUGAAUUGGGAGAAUGGCGUGAACUGAGGAGGCGGAGGUUGCAGUGAGCCAAG
ensembl:lncRNA novel transcript